ACGGGUAAUGACCUUAGACGGCGAGUGAAGCGGCAAAAGCUCAAAUUUGAAAUCUGGCGUCUUCGACGUCCGAGUUGUAAUUUGAAGAAGGCGACUUUGUAGCUGGUCCUUGUCUAUGUUCCUUGGAACAGGACGUCAUAGAGGGUGAGAAUCCCGUGUGGCGAGGAUCCCAGUUAUUUGUAAAGUGCUUUCGACGAGUCGAGUUGUUUGGGAAUGCAGCUCUAAGUGGGUGGUAAAUUCCAUCUAAAGCUAAAUAUUGGCGAGAGACCGAUAGCGAACAAGUACAGUGAUGGAAAGAUGAAAAGAACUUUGAAAAGAGAGUGAAAAAGUACGUGAAAUUGUUGAAAGGGAAGGGCAUUUGAUCAGACAUGGCGUUUGCUUCGGCUUUCGCUGGGCCAGCAUCAGUUUUAGCGGUUGGAUAAAUCCUCGGGAAUGUGGCUCUGCUUCGGUAGAGUGUUAUAGCCCGUGGGAAUACAGCCAGCUGGGACUGAGGAUUGCGACUUUUGUCAAGGAUGCUGGCGUAAUGGUUAAAUGCCGCCCGUCUUAAAAACCCGGGGACCAAACCA
rnacentral:rRNA from 1 species